CAAUGGGCGAAAGCCUGAUCCAGCAAUGCCGCGUGAGUGAAGAAGGCCUUCGGGUUGUAAAGCUCUUUUACCCGGGAAGAUAAUGACCGUACCGGGAGAAUAAGCCCCGGCUAACUCCGUGCCAGCAGCCGCGGUAAUACGGAGGGGGCUAGCGUUGUUCGGAAUCACUGGGCGUAAAGCGUGCGUAGGCGGCCAUUCAAGUCAGAGGUGAAAGCCCAGGGCUCAACCCUGGAACUGCCUUUGAAACUAGAUGGCUGGAACACGGGAGAGGUGAGUGGAAUUCCGAGUGUAGAGGUGAAAUUCGUAGAUAUUCGGAAGAACACCAGUGGCGAAGGCGGCUCACUGGACCGUUGUUGACGCUGAGGCACGAAAGCGUGGGGAGCAAACAGGAUUAGAUACCCUGGUAGUCCACGCCGUAAACGAUGAUAACUAGCUGUUGGGGCUCUUGGAGCUCCAGUGGCGCAGCUAACGCAUUAAGUUAUCCGCCUGGGGAG
rnacentral:rRNA from 1 species